GAUGAACGCUGGCGGCGUGCCUAAUACAUGCAAGUCGAGCGAACGGACGAGAAGCUUGCUUCUCUGAUGUUAGCGGCGGACGGGUGAGUAACACGUGGAUAACCUACCUAUAAGACUGGGAUAACUUCGGGAAACCGUAGCUAAUACCGGAUAAUAUUUUGCACCGCAGGGUUCAAAAGUGAAAGACGGUCUUGCUGUCACUUAUAGAUGGAUCCGCGCUGCAUUAGCUAGUUGGUAAGGUAACGGCUUACCAAGGCAACGAUGCAUAGCCGACCUGAGAGGGUGAUCGGCCACACUGGAACUGAGACACGGUCCAGACUCCUACGGGAGGCAGCAGUAGGGAAUCUGCCGCAAUGGGCGAAAGCCUGACGGAGCAACGCCGCGUGAGUGAUGAAGGUCUUCGGAUCGUAAAACUCUGUUAUUAGGGAAGAACAUAUGUGUAAGUAACUGUGCACAUCUUGACGGUACCUAAUCAGAAAGCCCCGGCUAACUACGUG
rnacentral:rRNA from 1 species